GAUGAACGUUGGCGGCGUGCCUAACACAUGCAAGUCGAACGGAAAUAGCAAUAUUUGAGUGGCGCACGGGUGAGUAACACGUAGCUAAUCUACCUCAAAGCGCGGGAUAACGUGUCGAAAGACAGGCUAAUACCGCAUAAGCUCCCGAUCUGUAGAGGAUUGGGAGAAAAGGCGUAAGUCACUUUGAGAUGAGGCUGCGGCCCAUCAGCUAGUUGGUGCGGUAAUGGCGUACCAAGGCGACGACGGGUAGGGGACCUGAGAGGGUGACCCCCCAACUGGGACUGAGACACGGCCCAGACUCCUACGGGAGGCAGCAGUGAGGAAUAUUGCACAAUGGGCGAAAGCCUGAUGCAGCGACGCCGCGUGGGUGAAGAAGGUUUUCGGAUCGUAAAACCCUUUUCUGUGUGACGAGCAAGGACGGUAGCACAGGAAUAAGUCUCGGCUAACUACGUGCCAGCCAGCCGCGGUAAUGAGUAGUACA
rnacentral:rRNA from 1 species